UGAAAACAUGUGUAUUUAUGAAGGUGGACU
rnacentral:piRNA from 1 species